UACAGAGGGUGCGAGCGUUAAUCGGAAUUACUGGGCGUAAAGCGUGCGCAGGCGGUUUUGUAAGUCUGACGUGAAAUCCCCGGGCUUAACCUGGGAAUGGCGUUGGAGACUGCAAGGCUGGAAUCUGGCAGAGGGGGGUAGAAUUCCACGUGUAGCAGUGAAAUGCGUAGAGAUGUGGAGGAACACCGAUGGCGAAGGCAGCCCCCUGGGCUAAGAUUGACGCUCAUGCACGAAAGCGUGGGGAGCAAACAGG
rnacentral:misc_RNA from 1 species